AGCUUUAUGUAAUUUUCAUUUAAAGUAAAACCUGCCCACUGAAUUUUUUAAAUGGCCGCAGUACCUUGACUGUGCUAAGGUAGCAUAAUAAAUUGACUUUUAAUUGAGGUCUUGAAUGAAAGGAUUAAUGGGCAAUUACUGUCUUAUAUUAAAUUAUAACAAUUUACUUAAAAGGUGAAAAUUCCUUUAAUUAAAUAUAAUAGACGAGAAGACCCUAGGAGUUUAUUUUUUUUUGUUGGGGCGACAUUAUAACAUAUAACUUAUAAUAAUUUUAAAUAUAAUUUAACGAAUAUUUUUAAUAAUAACUAAACUACCCUAGGGAUAACAGCAUAAUUUAAAUUUAUUUUAGGUUUGUGACCUCGAUGUUGGACUAAGGACAUUUAAAAUUAAUAAUAUUAAAUGAUAGUUCUGUUCGAACUUUUUACCUU
rnacentral:rRNA from 1 species